ensembl:lncRNA
UAUUAUGGUGUAUUUGUGUUUCUGUCUACAGUGGUUUAACUAUUUUCUCACCAGCUGAACCCAAUCACUUGUGUGCAUAAAGACAAAAUAUAUAGAGAAAAUAUACAUAGAAAAACACUCCAAACAUCAGCUGGUGAGUAUGUGAGGUCCCCAGUCUUCAGAAACUUAACUGCAUGCCAAAACUUCCCUGGAGCUGAGAUAUAGGUACACAAAAAUUGAACCAUCCUCAACAUGAACUGAGGACAGUCAUAGCUUGGAUUAGUUCACUGUAGAAGAGAACAGUACCCUAAAUGGCUGACCACAUCAUUGUAUUAAUAAGGCUACUUGCUGCAAUGAGUGAACACAUCAGGUAUCAAUCAGGCUGACUUCCACAACUGGAAUUACUCAGCCUUUGGUAGCAGUGUGUACCAGACACUAAUUACAUGAAAUAGCUCUACAGGAGCCAUGCUUGACCUGCUUGCUCAUCAGCCACAAGCAUUGUGCAAGCUGUUCUUUGCUACCCUUGGAAAGUAAGAGAAAAAUCUUAGCCUAAAGUGCUUGAAGGAAUAACACAGCAGUGGGUGGGAGAACAGAAGUAAAAAAUGUCUUCCUUUAUUCCCCUAGACCAUGCUUUUGUCUCAAAAACUCAGACUUGAUGCUUAGAGGAUACACCUGAUCUUCUUCUGGACUAAGCAGGAGUAGAGUCAUAUCAGGGCACCACUCCACCACAGUCAACUGAUGAUGCUGCAAAGCAUAGAAUUGAUUUGGGGUAAUACGAUACUAUAAGGCUUAUGUGGCCUUUGGGACCUAAGGUAAUAAUAUUGCAGUUUUACGUGGUGCAAAGCAGAGAUGUCUUUCCUUUCCUGAGCUGGAGAAUCAGAAUGUAAAGCUGGUCUGAAAGUAUAACUGACUUAGAAAGCAGUGAAUUAACCUGACAUUAACUUCUGAUGACAAACUGGUAAAGAAACUAAGUGCUUACUGUGAACUGUAAUCUUCUCUUGCAUGUAUUCAGAUUUGUUUUGGCAGAUGCUUUAAUGGAGAAACACUACAUUAUUUACCAUACCACAACACUCCUAUUUCAUUCAAUAAAAUUGUGAAACUCUAGUGCAUAAAACCAUGAAUGUUCCUAGAUUUGCUCUUCCAGAAACUUAGGUAUGGUUUGCCAAGGAAAAACAAAUUAGCAACAUAUGAAACUGCAAUAUUUCAAUAUUACACUAGAAGUGAAUGAAUAAUUCUGAUACAUUUUACGCUUAAUUAAUGUAUGUUGUCUUAAAGCUAAAUGCUAAAUCAUAACAAACAGGAAAUUAAAAAAUGUUAUUCCCACUGAAAACCUGAAAUAUUUCCAUUCUGAGAUCCUACCUCCAGUUACCUAAUUUUCAAGUUCUGCUGGAAAAUAUUUUCAAUAAAAUCACAUUUAAAAAAAUGUUUUCCAUAGAAAUCCAUUCUGAAAAUACAUCUUGAAUGGAAUUGUAAAAAUCAAUCAAAAUUUAUGUCUCACAGCCUGCAUUUAUAGGUUUUGUAUUGAAUUCAUAGGCUGUGCAGAAAGAGUUAUUAAUUAACAUUACUGUCUUUAACACAUAGUUCAUGAAUAAGGGAUGUGCUGCCUGCAAAGUGCUGAUGGAGGUGGCUAAUUGGGGAAGCAAUAUCAUUUAUAUAAAUACAAUUCUUUGUUUUACAGCGUUCUAUAAAACUUCUGCACAGAGGAAGGGGAGGAAGAGAAAUACAGGUUUACAGUGAAAUCUUGCUAUGGAGAGAUUCUGUUAAAGUACUGUAAUAAAUGUUGCUUUUUGAAGAAUUAAGGCUAAAUCUUACUUUUAAUUCGUAAAACCAGUUAGAGCUCAUGUGAAUUUUACCAUUGGCUUCUGUGAAAAGUACAAGCUGUGACACUUGAGUUAUUCUUAGGAACAAUAAGUGUUAUUUCACUCUGUAUGACUGUAAUCAGUGCUCUUAUUGUUAAAGGACCAGUGAGUGGAGAAAAGAAAAUCCUGAGAGUUUAAAUGAAUAAAAACAUAUUAUCUGGAAUAAAAAAAUAAAGAAAAAUCCAUUUGAACCUUCUUUUACUAUACAUCAGGAAGAUUUCAAUGUUGAACCAGUAUUCACAAUAAUUUCUAUACUGUUCAACUCCAGUAUGUAUAAUAAAGGAAGUGUACACAAUCUCUUUGCUUCACAAAUGUAAAUUUGGAACUGUCUUUGUACAAAAGAUAUUUGAUCAUCCACUCUGUUUGUCUUCAGUAGAUGCUUUUGUACCCAAGCCUGCUCCCAUGGAAAUCAAUAUAAAUUUGCCAGUGACUCAAAUGAAGACGACCCAGGUCUUCACUGUGUAAGUGUAUGUAACGGAUUGUUUCAUAUUAAUGUUAAUGUUUUUUCUAUGGACUUUUCGUAUAAUGCUGAAUGCUUGGAAUUGUCUUUCUUUUCUAUAUUCUUUUUUAUAUAGAUAAAUCACAGUUAUUCAAAGGACAUGAAUGCCUUCAGAAAAGUGAUGAUUUCAGUUUCAAUGCUAUUUAAAUGUCUGACUUAAGAAAUUAUCUUUUCUCUGUAACUCUUGAUUUCAAUAACUGGUGUUUAGAUAGAUGACACUAAAAGUGAUUCAUGUAAUUAACUAGUGCAAAAGGAAUGGUUAUCCAAGAAAUCACCUCUUAGAUACACUUGGGGGAAAAAUAAAACCUUGCGGGAAAAAACUUGUUACAUUUUCUCUCACUUCUGCAGUACUGUUUGAGGAUAAGAACAGGAACAAAAUGAUGCUUCUCAAAGUUUUUUCUUUGAAUACUUUAUUUUUCUAAAUAAACUGAAUUGAAUUAUGUUUACU